UGCCCAGUGACUCUUUAAACGGCCGCGGUAUCCUAACCGUGCAAAGGUAGCAUAAUCACUUGUCCCCUAAAUAGGGACUAGAAUGAACGGCUAAAUGAGGACAAAACUGUCUCUUACGGACCAACCAAUGAAAUUGAUCUUCCAGUACAAAAGCUGGAAUAAACCCAUAAGACGAGAAGACCCUGUGGAGCUUUAAAACCAAAACCACCAAACAUGUUUCUUGGUUUUUUAGUUGGGGCGACUUUGGAGAAAAAAUAAUCCUCCAAACUAUAAACCCAUUUAUUAAGAAUAACACAUCAAAAAUAAUUAAAUAGACCCAGCAACAUUAUGUUGUCUGACCAAUGAACCAAGUUACCCCAGGGAUAACAGCGCCAUCCUCUUCUAGAGUCCCUAUCGACAAGAGGGUUUACGACCUCGAUGUUGGAUCAGGACACCCCUAUAGUGCAGCCGCUUUAAAAGGUUCGUUUGUUCAACGAUUAAAGUCCUACGUGAUCU
rnacentral:rRNA from 1 species